rnacentral:rRNA from 1 species
GAUGAACGCUGGCGGCGUGCCUAAUACAUGCAAGUCGAGCGAACAGACGAGGAGCUUGCUCCUCUGACGUUAGCGGCGGACGGGUGAGUAACACGUGGAUAACCUACCUAUAAGACUGGGAUAACUUCGGGAAACCGGAGCUAAUACCGGAUAAUAUAUUGAACCGCAUGGUUCAAUAGUGAAAGACGGUUUUGCUGUCACUUAUAGAUGGAUCCGCGCCGCAUUAGCUAGUUGGUAAGGUAACGGCUUACCAAGGCAACGAUGCGUAGCCGACCUGAGAGGGGGAUCGGCCACACUGGAACUGAGACACGGUCCAGACUCCUACGGGAGGCAGCAGUAGGGAAUCUUCCGCAAUGGGCGAAAGCCUGACGGAGCAACGCCGCGUGAGUGAUGAAGGUCUUCGGAUCGUAAAACUCUGUUAUUAGGGAAGAACAAAUGUGUAAGUAACUAUGCACGUCUUGACGGUACCUAAUCGGAAAGCCACGGCUAACUACGUG